UACGUAGGUGGCGAGCGUUAUCCGGAAUGAUUGGGCGUAAAGGGUGCGUAGGCGGCCUGCUAAGUCUGGAGUGAAAGGUACCGGCUCAACCGGUACAGGCUCUGGAAACUGGUAGACUUGAGUGCAGGAGAGGAGAGUGGAAUUCCAUGUGUAGCGGUGAAAUGCGUAGAUAUAUGGAGGAACACCGGUGGCGAAAGCGGCUCUCUGGCCUGUAACUGACGCUGAGGCUCGAAAGCGUGGGGAGCAAACAGG
rnacentral:rRNA from 1 species